rnacentral:rRNA from 1 species
CCUACGGGUGGCUGCAGUAGGGAAUAUUGGACAAUGGGCGAAAGCCUGAUCCAGCCAUGCCGCGUGAUAGAUGAAGGCCCUCUGGGUUGUAAAUAUCUUUUAUCUGGGAAGAAACAAUCUUAUUCUUAAGAUCUUGACGGUACCAGAGGAAUAAGCACCGGCUAACUCCGUGCCAGCAGCCGCGGUAAUACGGUGGGUGCAGGCGUUAUCCGGUUUCACGGGGGUUAAGGCGUGCGGAUGAGGGCGGAGUGAAAGCUCCGGGCUUAACUUGGAAACUGCCAUUGAUACUGCCAGUCUUGAAUGUCGUAGAGGUAAGCGGAAUGUUGCAUGUAGCGGUGAAAUGCUUAGAUAUGUUACAGAACACCAAUUGCGAAGGCAGCUUACUAUGCGAUGAUUGACGCUGAGGCACGAAAGCGUGGGGAGCAAACAGGAUUAGAUACCCUUGUAGUC